UGGUCUAGUGGUAUGAUUCUCGCUUUGGGUGCGAGAGGUCCCGGGUUCAAUCCCCGGUUCGGCCC
rnacentral:tRNA from 1 species